UCGCCUCUUGCCUAAAAAUAAGAGGUCCAGCCUGCCCAGUGACACAUGUUCAACGGCCGCGGUAUCCUAACCGUGCGAAGGUAGCGUAAUCACUUGUUCUUUAAAUGAGGACUAGUAUGAAUGGCAUCACGAGGGUUAUACUGUCUCCUUUUUCUAAUCAGUGAAACUAAUCUCCCCGUGAAGAAGCGGGAUUAAAACUAUAAGACGAGAAGACCCUAUGGAGCUUUAAAUUUCCACUCAAAUGCUUACCAGUCUUUAAACUUCUUAGUAUAAUUAAAAACUAUUUUAACAUUAUGAGCCAGAAUUUUAGGUUGGGGUGACCGCGGAGUACAAAUUAACCUCCACAUUGAAACAGGCUUAUAAACCCUGAGCAACGGACAACAAUCCCAUGCACUAAAAAACUAACAUCCAUUGACCCAAGUUUUUGAUCAACGAACCAA
rnacentral:rRNA from 1 species